rnacentral:rRNA from 1 species
AGAAUCAACGCUGGCGGCGUGCCUAACACAUGCAAGUCGAACGAGAAAGUGGAGCAAUCCAUGAGUAAAGUGGCGCACGGGUGAGUAACACGUGACUAACCUACCCUUGAGUGGGGGAUAACCUAGAGAAAUCUGGGCUAAUACCGCAUAAUACCUUCGGGUCAAAGGAGCAAUUCGCUUAAGGAGGGGGUCGCGGCCGAUUAGUUAGUUGGCGGGGUAAUGGCCCACCAAGACUAUGAUCGGUAUCCGGCCUGAGAGGGCGCACGGACACACUGGAACUGAAACACGGUCCAGACUCCUACGGGAGGCAGCAGUGGGGAAUUUUGCGCAAUGGGGGAAACCCUGACGCAGCAACGCCGCGUGGAGGAUGAAGUCCCUUGGGACGUAAACUCCUUUCGAUCGGGACGAUAUGACGGUACCGAGAGAAGAAGCCCCGGCUAACUCGCGCCAGCAGCCGC